rnacentral:sRNA from 1 species
ACACGAGAAGGGAGGUGGUCCACGCUUUGUAUGCUCAUAGGACUCGUGAGGUGACUGUCCGCUAGCCGGUCUCGUGGUCCUCACCUCUGGCCGUAGCCCACGGGCACCGGCACCGGCGAGUACCAGGCAGAUCACCCGACCCCCGGGCGCCGUCGACAAGUCCCGACGGUCCUCGCUCCGCGCCUCGGCGCGGGCGGGGAAACGCCCGGGGGUCGCUUGCG